GAUGAACGCUGGCGGCGUGCCUAAUACAUGCAAGUCGAGCGAACGGACGAGAAGCUUGCUUCUCUGAUGUUAGCGGCGGACGGGUGAGUAACACGUGGAUAACCUACCUAUAAGACUGGGAUAACUUCGGGAAACCGGAGCUAAUACCGGAUAAUAUUUUGAACCGCAUGGUUCAAAAGUGAAAGACGGUCUUGCUGUCACUUAUAGAUGGAUCCGCGCUGCAUUAGCUAGUUGGUAAGGUAACGGCUUACCAAGGCAACGAUGCAUAGCCGACCUGAGAGGGUGAUCGGCCACACUGGAACUGAGACACGGUCCAGACUCCUACGGGAGGCAGCAGUAGGGAAUCUUCCGCAAUGGGCGAAAGCCUGACGGAGCAACGCUGCGUGAGUGGUGAAGGUCUUCGGAUCGUAAAACUCUGUUAUUAGGGAAGAACAUAUGUGUAAGUAACUGUGCACAUCUUGACGGUACCUAAUCAGAAAGCCACGGCUAACUACGUG
rnacentral:rRNA from 1 species